rnacentral:rRNA from 1 species
CGGAUGAUGGAGAUUGCUACCAAGUACGCCAACGGCGAAGAAGAAGACCGACUCCGAAGCGGCAAACAUAAGCCGAGUCAGUCGGAAAAAGGAAACACCAGUCGGAAACAGAAGCGGAAGGCUGAACCAGCAGCUCCUGGGGAGGCUCUGGCCGUGACUCAAGGAAAGUCUAAGGGGAAACCAAAAGGAUCCUGGAACCCCAAGAAGGUGAAGGAUAAAGAAGGGAACGACGUGAUGGAUAUGCCGUGCCACAUCCACACGAAGAAAGAUGAAGAGGGGAAUAUCAUUUACCCAAAGCACACCACUCGCCAAUGUCGACUCCUGAUCCAGCAGUUUCAGGGAAAACAGUCUAAGGACAAGGAGAAGGAGCCAGACAAGGCCGAAGACAAAGAGGACAGUGAGGGAGGAUACCCGCAUAUCAACUCC